UACGGAGGGUGCAAGCGUUAUCCGGAUUUACUGGGUUUAAAGGGUGCGUAGGUGGGUUGGUAAGUCAGUGGUGAAAUCUCCGAGCUUAACUCGGAAACUGCCAUUGAUACUAUCAAUCUUGAAUAUCCUGGAGGUGAGCGGAAUAUGUCAUGUAGCGGUGAAAUGCUUAGAUAUGACAUAGAAGCACAUUGCGAAGGCAGCUCACUACGGGGUCAUUGACACUGAGGCACGAAAGCGUGGGGAUCAAACAGG
rnacentral:rRNA from 1 species